AUUGAACGCUGGCGGCAUGCCUUACACAUGCAAGUCGAACGAGUGGCGGACGGGUGAGUAAUGUCUGGGAAACUGCCUGAUGGAGGGGGAUAACUACUGGAAACGGUAGCUAAUACCGCAUACCAUCGGAUGUGCCCAGAUGGGCUUAGCUAGUGGGUGGGUUAAAGGCUCACCUAGGCGACGAUCCCUAGCUGGUCUGAGAGGACUCCCAGCCACACUGGAACUGAGAAACGGUCCAGACUCCUACGGGAGGCAGCAGUGGGGAAUCUUGCACAAUGGGCGCAAGCCUGAUGCAGCCAGUCCGCGUGUAUGAUGAAGGCCUUCGGGUUGUAAAGUACUUUCAGCGGGGAAGCGUUACCCGCAGAAGAAGCACCGGCUAACUCCGUGCCAGCAGCCGCGGUAAUUC
rnacentral:rRNA from 1 species